rnacentral:lncRNA from 1 species
UUAAAAAAAAAAAACUCAGUGGCUCUGUUGGGUUUCUCUCAACCCAUUCUUUGCGCCACUACCAACCAAGGCCAUCCCACGCCCUUGGUCACCUCAGUCUCCGAUCACGGCGGAGAAAGGCGUACCGUGGCGGCACCGGUAAGCGUUCCCUCUUUCUUUUAUGUUAUUUUAAACAAAAAAUAAAAUGAAAAUAAAAGAAAAU